GUGGGCAGUCCUCGCAGGUGUUGAGAAAUGGGAAGCUCCAGUAUCAGUCACUCCGAGUGUUGGAAGCUGUGUGCAGCGCUGGGCGCAGACAUGUCCUCUCCCACCUUCUUCCUGCUUUUUGAGCCUGGAGGGCAGUAACAAAAGAGAGGAAAACACAGGGUGGAGAGAGUGGGGGUUGGAUGGAGAAAGAGAAAGACAGAUCAGUGAUUACCGCACGGGGAGUGGCAGUCAACUCGAUUCCAGUGCAAACCGGUUCAAACCAAGUGGGCUGCUUCAGAGGUGACUGCUGCCACCUGGGCGGCAUUCAAACGGGGACCAUGACGCUUCAGUCACAUCCUAAGCAGAACAUUCCAAACAUCAUGACUGCUCUGGGAAACACUGAUGUUUGCAACAG